UUUGGUGGAUUUUAUCUGUUUCAGAGUUUCUAUCGAAGGAAUAAGUUGGGUUAUUAGGUCUACUUUCUCUUCUUUUGUUCUCAGUUCUUCUCAUAGACCUGAUCACAACAAAGGUCUUGUGCACACUGAUACAUAUUGAUUACCAAGAUCUAGCAUUUUUUGCGGACUCAAAGGUACAUGUGACAGAGGUUUAGCUCAGACGAUUAGUCUAAUAUCCUUUUAAAGGUUUAGCCCGGACGAGUAAUUUGACAUGUAUAUUGUUAGCUUGGCCAAGCAAUUUGAUGUGUCAUUAAAUUUUUAGCAUGAACGGGUAACUUGACACGAUUGUUGUUACAUCCCUCGCCCAGUCCGGUCGUCGAACCCAAGUUACGAAAUGCUUUAGUAAAAUAGAGACAUUCACAUACACAAUCAUCGAAUAAAUUUCUUUUUAAUGUCAAUAAAAUUUUAUUUAGAUCACACACAUAUAAUAGAGGUUAUAACAUAAGUGAGACUAAUUAAGUUUUAUAACAAAUAUCCUUAGUUUCAGGUGAUUUAUAGUUUUAAACGAAGCACGCCAAGGUGGUUCGCUAGAAUAUGUCCGUCCAAAGCCUGACCGCCAAAUGAUUAUCCUCCAAAUGAAUGCAGAAGGUUGUUCGCAAAAUCCUUGUACUUAAUCCGAGCAUCAUGACCACGCGAUCUAGUCUUGUCCGCGUAAUAGGCUUGCUUUUUGGCCAUUAUAUCGCAAUCGAUGAAGAUGACGUGGUUUGCAUCUCAUUUCCGUCCAUACUAUCCGCUGAACAUUCAUAUUAUUUUAUUAUUAUUAUCCACCCAAAUAGUCUGCAUUUAUAAGUUCACCAAUUAACUAAAUUGAGUUAACAUAUUUAACACAUCCUCCUUUGAGAUCAAUUUAAAAACAUUUCAAAUUUCACAAUUUUUCUAUUUAGUCCUUAUCGUCAUUCAAUCUCUUAUACUUAAAAUUUCACUACUUCUUUUCCUAACAAUUAAUAUAUUUCUUCCACACUUCAGUUCACAACACUUAAUCUCACUUAUCAGGUUUUGCACAUUUCUCAAUUUAAUCAUCUCUUCAUCAUCUCAUGCCAUAUCUAUUUAUAACAUUAUUUUCUUCAUUAUUUUCUCAAGUUCAACCUCUAUUCUUUCUCAUAUAUUUAUAUUUCAUACCUAUUGUCAUGAAUCAUACUAAGAUUAUUAUCUAGUCAGGAACAAUUUAAAGCUUUUUUCACUAUCUUCUCAAAUUUCAGAUUCACAUUUCAUUAUUUUAUAUUUUAUAUUAUAUAUUCUUAUAUAUCUUGUUUUUCUAGACUCACUCAUGAUCAUAGGAUUAGUAAACCCGAGUUCUGAUACCACUAAAUUUAACACCCCAUACCUAACCCAAUCGUCAAGUCAAGGUACCGGGAUGUCACAUUCGUUGUUGAAACAACUACAAAUAUUUCAAAUCGAUUUAUCAUAUUAUUUGAUUAUUGCAUACCAUUUUACUCAUUUUAGAAAUAAUUGAAUUUAUGACAGAACUAUUUAUGGGUUGAAGGAGCUCAUUAAAACAUGAUAUUCAAUCAAAUAUAAUAAAGUUUAUGAAAUUAACACACUUAUUAAAGUUUUACAAAUAAGUCCAUUGGAGGACUUGCACUUUCUAAAGUAAUUUACCCACUUUAUGUAUACUUCAUGUUUAUUUCUAAAUUGUGUCAAUUAAUUUAAUUAUUCAUAAACUUUUAGCCAAUAUUCUAAAAUCAGAUCAAUUAACAAUUACUCACUUAUUAUUUUAUCAAUUCGUUUAAACAUUCUCACAAGUAUUUAUCAUUCCAUCACUUAUAACCAUUUCAUAACAUUUCAAAUUCAUCUACUAUUUUUUCCUCCUCCUCUCCAUUCCACACCCUUUAUGUAUAUAUAUUAGAAUCUUUAGCUUUUAGUAUGACAUGCAUAUACGUAACAUUAACUAUAAUUCCAUUAUUUACUUUUGUGUUCAUAUCAAAGUUGUCCACUUGUGUCAUAGUUACUAAAUCAUUUAUAUCUUGAAUUACAGAAUUUGAAAUUAAGACCCGCUUGAUGUUUUUGAAACUAGGCUCAAAUAUUUUUUUACCAUAAAUUUUUUAGAAUUUCUACUUUAGCAAAUCAGUACAGUAAUUUCUUCAAAAUUUCCCCUAUUCUAUUACUUGACAACUUUGACCUUUCUUUACUAAAAAAUAAUUAUCUCUUAAAUACGGGGUUCAGAUGAUGUUUACUUUAGAUUCUCUUGAAAAUAGACUCAUUAGUAAUUUAAACAUAUAAAUUUCAUCCCUUAAUAAUUUUUGUACAAGUUUUUUUUAUGAUUUUCUAAAGUCUACAAUUUCAUUGCUUACACCAUUUCUUUCAUAUGAAACUAUGCUCGAUAAAAUUUAGUUCCAUAUUUAAUUUGAUCUCUAACUAAUUUUUUAUGAUUUUUUGUGAAUUAUCAAAGUUAAGCUGUUACUGUUGUCCAAAUUAUUUUAAUGAAAAUAUUUUCUUUUUCAUGGUUCUUUUCACUAUCUUUUAUUCAAUCAUACAUAAUCACCAUACUUUUGAUUAAUAUUCAAUUUAAUCACUUAUGGUUAUGUGUAGAUUACGUAUUCAUUUUUUAAUUUGAGUACUUUUCACAAUACAAAUCACAAUUUCUCUUACUUACCAAUUUAGUGUUUUAAAUCUCUAUACUUUAUCAAAUACUUUCUAUUUCUAGUUAGAUUAAAAAUACAUAUUUCAUACAUCUCAUUCACAACAUAUUUAACUCAAUCUAUUGAAAUACAAGUAGGGUUAGUAUAAAACUUAUCCCCCUUUGUCAAGAAUUUCUUCCUUUCUUCUUCAUUUCCUUUCCUUCCCCAUCUUCACCACUUUCUUUCCCUUUUCUUCUCUUGCUCCUAAAUUGAUGAACAUAUUCUCUAAAAUCUCAACUUCAUCUUUUCUCUUUGGUGUCUAAGGAAAUUUUCAUGAAUUUUUUGUGAAAAUGUGGGUUUUCAUGGUAAAGGAUUAAAUUGUAAAAAAAAACACAACUUUCUCUUCCCUAGCUGUCUCUCACGUUGAACGUGAAAAGAUGAUGAUUUCUUUUCAUCUUUCCUCUCUUUUUAUACCAAUCAUUUUCAUAAUAAAAUAUUAACAAAAAUCUAAUUAAAAUAUUAAUAUUAUAACAUUUAUCUAAUUAUUUAAUUUAAAAUAUCUCACAUGUCAUCAUUACACUCUAGAAUUCUUUCUCAUGCUAAUUGACCAUUUUACCCUUUAUAAUCCUUAAAAAUUUCAUCCUUAAUAAUCACUUAAUUUUGUCAAAUUGUGAUUUAGUCCCUCAAAUUCUCUAUUUAUUCAAUUUAGUCCUUAUUCAUCCAUUUUCCUUAUUUUCUAAACUCUUCCACCCUUAAGAUAUUUGCACUAUUGACCCUUCAAAUUUUUUAUAUCUACACUUUAACCCCCUCACGUUUUCAAUAUUUACACUUGAGCCAUAGAACUUUUCAUAUUACAAUUUAGUCUCUAACUCAAAUUAAUAUUUCACAACAUACUUCUUAUUUCAAAUUUUUCCUUGGUAUCACUCAACCUUUCUUUUAUCAUAUUUACAUCUUUUUCUCACUUUACCGGAAAAAAAAAUCAAUUAUACACUAUCAAUUUAAUACUGCUUUUAUAAUAUAUUGAUUUUAGGGGUAUUACAUUUCUCCCCCUUAAAAUAAAUUUUAUCCUCGAAAUUUCCUUGGUUUUUCUCGACCAUGAACUUCAUUGUCUUUUAGCAAAGACACUAUUUAUCUUAAUUUAUCAUUAUUAGUACAUCACAUUUCUUUAAUUACAAUCAAUUUCUUAGACUUGAUACAUUCUUGAUUUCUUUAUUCGAAUUUUCUUUCUUGUUACACUUUAAUCACAUAAUUUAUCUCUUCACUACUAUUUGUAGUAUCUUUUCUCUUAAGAUUUAUUGAGAACUUUUGUUAAUCAAUAUUAUCUUUACAUCCUCUCUAAAAUAAGACUCGUCAACUCGCUUAAUUCAAAAUUUUUUCAUUCAAUUUGGUCCAACACUACCUCUCUCUUUUAUGAUUGGUUGUUGUAUUCGAUAUAUUGAAGAGCACAUUGUUGUGUCCAAUUAUGUAGUUGGUUGGAUCCGUCAAGGAAAAUAGCAAUCGGAUUUAAUGACUUGCGUGGUUGAGGUUGUUGGUUCG
rnacentral:lncRNA from 1 species